UGGGGAAUUUUGGACAAUGGGCGCAAGCCUGAUCCAGCAAUGCCGCGUGCAGGAUGAAGGCCUUCGGGUUGUAAACUGCUUUUGUACGGAGCGAAAAGGUCUGCCCUAAUACGGUGGGCUCAUGACGGUACCGUAAGAAUAAGCACCGGCUAACUACGUGCCAGCAGCCGCGGUAAUACAGAGGGUGCAAGCGUUAAUCGGAAUUACUGGGCGUAAAGCGUGCGCAGGCGGUGAUGUAAGACAGGUGUGAAAUCCCCGGGCUUAACCUGGGAAUUGCAUUUGUGACUGCAUCGCUGGAGUGCGGCAGAGGGGGAUGGAAUUCCGCGUGUAGCAGUGAAAUGCGUAGAUAUGACCCAGAACCCCAAUUGCGAAGGCAGCCUACUACGGGGUGAUUGACACUGAGGCACGAGAGCAUGGGGAGCAAACA
rnacentral:rRNA from 1 species